rnacentral:rRNA from 1 species
CCUACGGGGUGCAGCAGUGGGGAAUCUUCCGCAAUGGGCGAAAGCCUGACGGAGCAACGCCGCGUGAUCGAAUGAAGGCCUUCGGGUUGUAAAGAUCUGUUGCCAGGGACGAAUAAGCAAUGCGAAUAGUUUUGUGUAUGACGGUACCUGUUUAGAAAGCUCCGGCUAACUACUUGCCAGCAGCCGCGGUAAUACGUAGGGAGCAAACGUUUUCCGGCAUUACUGGGCGUAACGGGCGCGUAGGUGGGCGCGUAAGUCAGGGGUGAAAACCCCGGGGUCAACCUGGAGACUGCACUGGAAACUGGGUGUCUUGAGGGCAUGAGAGGAAAGUGGAAUUCCUAGUGUAGCAGUGAAAUGCGUAGAUAUUAGGAGGAACACCAGUGGCGAAGGCGACUUUCUGGACUGUACCUGACGCUGAGGCGCGAAAGCGUGGGUAGCGAACGGGAUUAGAUACCCCAGUAGUC